AGUGACGUCAAGUACAGCAUGGCCUUUAUAUCCUGGGCGUACACACACGCUACAAUGGGAAGGGACAAUAGGUUGCGAAGCCGCGAGGCGGAGCCAAUCCAGCAAAACUUCCCUCAGUUCAGAUUGCAGGCUGCAACCCGCCUGCAUGAAGUUGGAGUUGCUAGUAAACGCAGGUCAGCCAUACUGCGUUGAAUACGUUCCCGGGGCUU
rnacentral:rRNA from 1 species